GAUGAACGCUGGCGGCGUGCCUAAUACAUGCAAGUCGAGCGAACGGACGAGAAGCUUGCUCCUCUGAUGUUAGCGGCGGACGGGUGAGUAACACGUGGAUAACCUACCUAUAAGACUGGGAUAACUUCGGGAAACCGUAGCUAAUACCGGAUAAUAUUUUGAACCGCAUGGUUCAAUAGUGAAAGACGGUUUUGCUGUCACUUAUAGAUGGAUCCGCGCUGCAUUAGCUAGUUGGUAAGGUAACGGCUUACCAAGGCAACGAUGCAUAGCCGACCUGAGAGGGUGAUCGGCCACACUGGAACUGAGACACGGUCCAGACUCCUACGGGAGGCAGCAGUAGGGAAUCUUCCGCAAUGGGCGAAAGCCUGACGGAGCAACGCCGCGUGAGUGAUGAAGGUCUUCGGAUCGUAAAACUCUGUUAUUAGGGAAGAACAUAUGUGUAAGUAACUGUGCACAUCUUGACGGUACCUAAUCAGAAAGCCACGGCUAACUACGUG
rnacentral:rRNA from 1 species